rnacentral:rRNA from 1 species
UGCUUUACACAUGCAAGUCGAACGGAGAUAAGGAGCUUGCUCCUUAUUUUAGUGGCGAACGGGUGAGUAAUAUAUCGGAACAUACCCGGAAGUGGGGGAUAACGUAGCGAAAGUUACGCUAAUACCGCAUAUGCCCUGAGGGGGAGAGGGGGGGAUCGCAAGACCUCUCGCUUUCGGAGUUGCCGAUACCGGAUUAGCUAGUUGGUGAGGUAAAGGCUCACCAAGGCGACGAUCCGUAGCUGGUCUGAGAGGACGACCAGCCACACUGGAACUGAGACACGGUCCAGACUCCUACGGGAGGCAGCAGUGGGGAAUAUUGGACAAUGGGCGAAAGCCUGAUCCAGCCAUACCGCGUGAGUGAAGAAGGCCUUCGGGUUGUAAAGCUC